rnacentral:lncRNA from 1 species
UUACCAUAGGUUACUGUACUGACGUUACCAUAGGUUACUGUACUGACGUUACCAUAGGUUACUGUACUGAUGUUACCAUAGGUUACUGUACUGACGUUACCAUAGGUUACUGUACUGACGUUACCAUAGGUUACUGACCUGACGUUACCAUAGGUUACUGUACUGACCCGACGUUUCCAUAGGUUACUGUACUGACGUUACCAUAGGCUACUGACCUGACAUUAGAAGCGUGAGAAGAUAGGGGAAGAGGUUUUUUUAUUAGCUAGAGAACAUCGAAUUAACUUUUUCAAAACUAUUGAAGGAUACAAUAAGCCUAGUUAUCACGUUUCACAAUGGAUUUAUUCAUUACACUAAGGUAAGAUGUGUUUUUAAUUCUGGUGCCGCUCAAGCUUGUUAGCUUGCUAGUGUAAGGGACG